rnacentral:rRNA from 1 species
GAUGAACGCUGGCGGCGUUCUUAACACAUGCAAGUCGAACGAGAAGUGAAGACGGAAACCUUCGGGCGGAAGGCUUUAUUUCGAGUGGCGGACGGGUGAGUAACGCGUGGGUAACCUGCCUCAUACAGGGGGAUAACAGUUGGAAACGACUGUUAAUACCGCAUAAGACCACAGCACCGCAUGGUGCGGGGGUAAAAACUCCGGUGGUAUGAGAUGGACCCGCGUUCGAUUAGCCAGUUGGCGGGGUAACGGCCCACCAAAGCGACGAUCGAUAGCCGAUCUGAGAGGAUGACCGGCCACAUUGGGACUGAGACACGGCCCAAACUCCUACGGGAGGCAGCAGUGGGGAAUAUUGCACAAUGGGGGAAACCCUGAUGCAGCGACGCCGCGUGAGUGAAGAAGUAUUUCGGUAUGUAAAGCUCUAUCAGCAGGGAAGAAAAUGACGGUACCUGAGUAAGAAGCCCCGGCUAACUACGUG